GACGAACGCUGGCGGCGUGCUUAACACAUGCAAGUCGAACGUGAUUUUUGUGGAAAUUCUUUCGGGAAUGGAAAUGAAAUGAAAGUGGCGAACGGGUGAGUAACACGUGAGCAACCUACCUUACACAGGGGGAUAGCCGUUGGAAACGACGAUUAAUACCGCAUGAGACCACAGAAUCGCAUGAUAUAGGGGUCAAAGAUUUAUCGGUGUAAGAAGGGCUCGCGUCUGAUUAGCUAGUUGGAAGGGUAAAGGCCUACCAAGGCGACGAUCAGUAGCCGGUCUGAGAGGAUGAACGGCCACAUUGGAACUGAGACACGGUCCAAACUCCUACGGGAGGCAGCAGUGGGGAAUAUUGCACAAUGGGGGGAACCCUGAUGCAGCGACGCCGCGUGAGCGAAGAAGGUUUUCGAAUCGUAAAGCUCUGUCCUAUGAGAAGAUAAUGACGGUAUCAUAGGAGGAAGCCCCGGCUAAAUACGU
rnacentral:rRNA from 1 species